GGAGGGAUGGCUGAGCGGUUGAAAGCACGGUCUUGAAAACCGGCAAGGGUUAAUAGCCCUUCUAGGUGUCAAAUCCCUAGCCCUCCUCCA
rnacentral:tRNA from 1 species